rnacentral:rRNA from 1 species
CAGCAGUAGCCGCGGGAACACGUAGGUGGCAAGCGUUGUCCGGAAUUAUUGGGCGUAAAGGGCUCGCAGGCGGUUUCUUAAGUCUGAUGUGAAAGCCCCCGGCCCAACCGGGGAGGGUCAUUGGAAACUGGGAAACUUGAGUGCAGAAGAGGAGAGUGGAAUUCCACGUGUAGCGGUGAAAUGCGUAGAGAUGUGGAGGAACACCAGUGGCGAAGGCGACUCUCUGGUCUGUAACUGACGCUGAGGAGCGAAAGCGUGGGGAGCGAACAGGAUUAGAUACCCCUGUAGUCCCUGUCUCUUAUAC